rnacentral:rRNA from 1 species
UACGUAGGGGGCAAGCGUUAUCCGGAAUUACUGGGUGUAAAGGGAGCGUAGGCGGUUCAAUAAGUCUGAUGUGAAAGCCUUCGGCUCAACCGGAGAAUUGCAUCAGAAACUGUUGAACUUGAGUGCAGAAGAGGAGAGUGGAACUCCAUGUGUAGCGGUGGAAUGCGUAGAUAUAUGGAAGAACACCAGUGGCGAAGGCGGCUCUCUGGUCUGCAACUGACGCUGAGGCUCGAAAGCAUGGGUAGCGAACAGG